CCGAGCCCGAACCAAUCCGUCCCGUGAGAGGAGCGCCGCCACUGCCCUCCGCCGCCGGCUGGCCCUCCCCGCCGCCCGCUUCCCCGCCUCCUUACCCCGCCCUCUCCCGCAGCCCCCCUUCUCUCAUCCCCUCCUCUCCGCACCGCCCCAUCGCCCCGGUCCCGCCGCCCCGCCCCACCCACCCAAUCCUAAACCCUAGGCCUCUCCCCCCACAAACCCUAGGAAGGACCAGGUCUCGCCGGAGCCGCCCGGCCGGGGCGCGGCGGAAGCGGAGCCCCGGAGGCCCUCUGCGGAGGAGAAGAGAUCUAGGAGGCCCAGCGGGGCAGCAAAGGAGCGGGCAAGAUGAGGAUCAUGAUUAAGGGCGGGGUGUGGAAGAACACCGAGGAUGAGAUCCUCAAGGCGGCCGUGAUGAAGUACGGUAAGAACCAGUGGGCGCGCAUCUCCUCGCUGCUCGUCCGCAAGUCCGCCAAGCAGUGCAAGGCCCGCUGGUACGAGUGGCUCGACCCCUCCAUCAAGAAGACUGAGUGGACAAGGGAAGAGGAUGAGAAGCUGCUCCAUCUUGCUAAGCUCAUGCCUACUCAGUGGAGGACUAUUGCACCUAUUGUGGGUCGAACACCAUCCCAGUGUCUCGAGCGAUAUGAAAAAUUGCUUGAUGCUGCCUGUGCAAAGGAUGAGAAUUAUGAGCCUAAUGAUGACCCAAGAAAGUUGCGACCUGGGGAGAUUGAUCCAAACCCUGAGUCAAAACCUGCACGUCCAGAUCCUGUUGACAUGGACGAAGAUGAAAAGGAAAUGCUUUCUGAGGCAAGGGCUCGCUUAGCUAACACCAGGGGUAAAAAGGCAAAACGGAAGGCAAGAGAGAAACAACUUGAAGAGGCGAGGCGGCUUGCAUCACUGCAAAAAAGGAGGGAACUGAAGGCAGCUGGUAUUGACAACCGGCACAAAAAAAGAAAGAGAAAGGGAAUUGACUAUAAUGCGGAGAUCCCUUUUGAAAAGAGACCCCCUCCAGGCUUUUAUGAUACAGUGGGCGAGGACAGGCCACUUGAGCAUGUGCAGUUUCCAACUACCAUUGAGGAGCUUGAAGGGAGGAGAAGAGUGGAUGUAGAGGCUCAAUUAAGAAAGCAAGACAUCGCCAAGAACAAGAUUCUGCAGAGGCAGGAUGCUCCUGCCGCAAUAAUGCAAGCAAAUAAACUCAAUGACCCAGAAGCUGUCACAAGAAGGUCCAAACUAAUGCUUCCACCACCCCAAAUUUCGGACCAUGAAUUGGAGGAGAUCGCAAAGAUGGGCAAUGCCGGUGAUCCUGCUCUAGCUGAGGAGCUUGGUGAAGGAAGUACUGCCACCAGGACACUGCUUGCAAAUUAUUCCCAGACUCCAAGGCUUGGUAUGACACCAUUGCGAACGCCGCAACGAACGCCAGGUGGGAAAGGUGAUGCUAUUAUGAUGGAGGCAGAGAAUCUUGCACGUUUAAGGGAAUCACAAACACCUCUUUUAGGAGGCGAUAACCCAGAGCUUCACCCAUCAGAUUUCUCAGGCGUUACACCACGUAAGAAAGAGAUACAGACUCCGAAUCCCAUGGCAACGCCUCUGGCUAGCCCUGGCCCUGGUGUUACCCCAAGGAUUGGUUUGACACCGUCCAGAGAUGGAAAUUCCUUUGGGUUAACUCCAAAAGGAACCCCUUUCAGGGAUGAGCUUCACAUAAAUGAAGAGGUGGAAAUGCAAGACAGCGCUCAGCUUGAGCUUCGUAGGCAAGCAGAGUUAAGAAGAGGUCUGCGGUCUGGUUUUGCUUCUAUUCCACAGCCUAAGAAUGAGUACCAGAUAGUUAUGCCACCUAUCACAGAGGAGAAGGAAGAAGCUGAAGAGAGAAUUGAAGAGGAUAUGUCAGACAGGUUAGCACGAGAAAGGGCUGAGGAACAAGCAAGGCAGGAGGCAUUGCUCAGAAAGAGGUCCAAAGUGUUGCAGAGGAGUUUGCCUAGGCCACCUGCUGCUUCAGUGGAGAUUCUCCGGCAAUCUCUUAUUAAAGGUGGUGAAAGCAGAAGUACCUUUGUGCCUCCUACAUCACUUGAACAAGCUGACGAGCUAAUAAAUGAGGAACUCCUGAGGCUCCUUGAGCAUGAUAAUGCUAAAUAUCCUCUUGAUGAACAAACUCAAAGAGAGAAAAAGAAAGGGAGCAAGCGUCAGGCAAAUGGGGCAGCUUUCAUCCCUGAAAUCGAAGGUUUUGAUGAGCAUGAACUAAAAGAGGCAAGUUUUAUGGUUGAGGAGGAGAUUCAGUAUCUUCGUGUGGCCAUGGGCCAUGAAAAUGAAUCUUUUGAGGAUUUUGUGAAGUCACAUGAUGCAUGCCAAGAGGACCUUAUGUUUUUCCCUACUAACAACAGCUAUGGUCUUGCCAGUGUUGCUGGAAAUGCUGAUAAAAUUUCUGCUUUGCAACAUGAGUUUGAAAUGGUAAAGAAGAGAAUGGAUGAUGAGGCAAAGAAAGCUUCUCGGCUUGAGCAGAAGAUCAAACUGCUGACACAAGGAUACCAGGCACGAGCUGCAAAAUUGGGGUCACAGAUCCAGGACACCUUCAAGCAGAUGAACACUGCAGCCACAGAACUUGAAUGCUUCCAAGAGUUGCAGAAACAAGAACAGAUGGCUGGUGCCUAUCGUGUGAGAAAUUUGUCUGAAGAAGUGAAUAAACAGAAAGCGUUGGAACAGACUCUCCAGAGCCGCUAUGGUGAUCUGUUGUCUGGUUACCAGAGCAUCCAUGGACAACUUGAGGAGCACAAGAGGCUACUUAAGCUACAGGAGGAGGCAAUAGAGGCAGAAAACCGUGCUAAGGAGGAGGCAAUAGAGGCAGAAAACCGUGCUAAGGAGGAGGCAUUAGAGGCAGAAAACCGUGCUAAGGCGGAGGCAAUAGAGGCAGAAAACCGUGCCAAGGAGGAGGCAUUAGAGGCAGAAAACCGUGCUAAGGAGGAGGCAAUAGAGGCAGAAAACCGUGCCAAGGAGGAGGCAUUAGAGGCAGAAAACCGUGCUAAGGAGGAGGAAGCUGCAGCUCGAAAUCGUGCUGCUGAGGAAGAAAAUGAGAGGAAGAAUCAUGCCAUUCAAGAGGAAUCAGGACAGACAACUAAGGUUACUGAUGAAGAAGCUGCAGGAAGAAAAGAAAUCAAUGGAGAUCAGAUGGAUAUGGACAGUGCAGAUGUCGCUGGAGAACUUGUAGGUCCAAUUCCUCCAUUGCCUGACACAGUGGAUAACGAUGGGGCUUCAAUUGAACAGAGUACUUCUAACGCUCAGAGUGGUGACACCGUUACUGUGAAUGAGGGAGCCAUUGACAAGGUCGAUUCAUCCAAAUUAGAUGGCCAGGACAAUACCAGUUGUAGCAUGGAUAUUGAUGCUGGUAGCCAGGAAGAGGGAAAAAAUGUUCUCGCGGCUGCUGCUACAAGUGUAGAUGUAGGGAACACACCUGUAUCUUCAGAUCAAGCUGUCUCGAAUGAAGGGAGUGAUGCGGUUCACGCACCUGUAUCUUCAGAUCAAGCUGUCUCGAAUGAAGGGAGUGACGCUGUUCACGCACCUGUAUCUUCGGAUCAAGCUGCGCCAAAUGAAGAGAGUGGCAUGGUUCCUGAAUAAAACAUCUUCUGCAUACCUCAUCUGCAGCGGAUGUCACAAGCAUGAUGCCAAAGGUGACUACUGAACACUAGCUCGCGUGCCAUGUUUGUUUUGUUAAUUUUCGUUUUGACUCUCUGCUGGUCUGAACAUUUGUGGAAGUAAAACCUGAUAUUUACAGCUUUCUAUUGAAAAUAUGAACUUGAGGAAACAGGUCAUCCCGCUAGUGCUGCUUUUGACCUUUCUUUUAUGGGCCUCGCUUCGGGUCUGGGUUUUGAAGAAGUACCCAUGUUUGACUUAUCAUGUGGGGCAAAAUAUCACCGUCUUUUGUGGCGGUGGCUGCAGCUGGUGUUUGUGCGAUGUGGGGUUAUGGCCCUGUUUGGUUCGGCUGUGGAUUUCUAAAAGCAGCUGUGAAAAAUCUGCUAUGGAAAAACAACUGUGGAAAAUCUGAUGUGAUAAAGAUGUAGGUCAUUUGGCAAACCAGAUGAUACAGCUUUUUCAAAUUUUGGCUCGCAGCGGAAUCAGAUUUUGAAAAGCACGUCCUGGGCUGCUUCCGAUUUUGGUUCAGAUUUUGGCAGCGGACUUUUGGAAUCGGAUUCUGCUGGGUUCGCCCUUUGGUUCAGAUUCUACUGUGCGGCAGCGGAAUCCGUCGAUAAAAGAUGAACCAAACAGGGCCUAUAACUGCUGCUGUUGCGCUGCUGGUGCUGUUCAUGUUGGCAGUGCUACUUGCGUAUGAUUUUCAAGAUGUGGCGCUUUAGCUUUGCGCAUGUUGGUCAUGUCUGUUAGCCUCACUGGUUUGAGGAGGUUUUAAGAAGAAAAGAAAAAACUGCUCCUUGUGUGUGAUUCAGAUCACCAAAAUAUAUCAUUGCUUGUUCAAAGAUGCGAUCCAGAAAACAACACAAAUCUUACUCAUGUGUAUCAUAGCCGCCUUUCUUUGGACCAUAUAAAGUACUUAGUAGGCACUCCAUCUGUUCCUAAAUAUAUGCCUUUUUAGAGAUUUCAAUAUGAACUACAUAGGGAGCAAAAUGAGUGAAUGUACACUCUAAAACUAUAUACAUCCGCAUAUAGUACGUAUGGAAAUCUUUAAAAAGGCUUAUAUUUAGAAACAGAGGAAGUUAGAAGGGUAACUGAAACGACUUUAGGUUUUGUUGAUUUAUUGUGUGACAAUUUUAUUGAAAAAGAUUAUGCUUAUGGUAUAUUCAC
rnacentral:rRNA from 1 species